rnacentral:lncRNA from 1 species
ACUUGCUAUCCUUGUUUAUUUGGAAAAAGAUGAAAAAUCCUUCUCCAACAGAUUGGAAUAGGACUUGCUAAAGUUUUGCAAGUUGGAAAACGCAGGGGUCGCGCGCGUAUCUAUCCGCGCUCGGCGUGGCUUGCUAUCCUGGGCCGCGAGUGAGUUUUCCCCACGCCGCCAGUUCUCCCGCGUCGAUCGUGAAAGUUCCGUCCAGUAAUCCUUCGUCGCCUCCUUCGUGAUCACCUCCGCCAUCCUGUGUCGGCCUUCAUCGACUGGCCGCGCGGGUGCCCUACAGAGGCUAUUGCAAUAAGUGACAGAAGUUCAAAGCACGGUUCCAUGACGAACGGAUCUGGGUCAAGGGCGCGCCGGGCAGGAGGUGAAGACGGUGCGAGCGAGGACGGUCGAGAUCGGCGGCGGAGAGGCUUGGUGCGCUGCAGAACGGUGAGGAUUCUUCAUCCUCGACAUCGGCCGCUGCCGCUGCGUUGAUGGCGGCCUCCGGCCCGCCGCUCGAAGACUGCCUCCGCCUCCUCCGCAGCGAGCGCGACGAGCAGAAGCUGGCGGGCCUGCUCGUCGCCGCCAACAUCUGCCGCGCGGGCAACACCGACGCCGUCGCCAAGGUCUACCGUGCCGUUGGGCCCGGCUUCCUCCGACGCCUCCUCAACACUGGGAUGGGGUUGGGGAAAGUGGAGGGCGGGAAGGAGGAGCGGGAGGCAUACCUGUGGCUCGCCGUCACCGUGCUCGCGGGGCUUGCGUGCGUCCCGGAGGUUGCGGCCGACGAGGGGGUCGUUUCCACCGUGCCCCUAGUCGCCGAGGUUGUCGCCAAAUCGACCGAUCCAGCGAUCACUGAAGAAUGCUUUGAACUUCUGUCACUUAUUGACGCCCAAAGGAAGCAGGGGCGCAGGGCGCCGUGCGGCAGGGCAGCGAUG